rnacentral:rRNA from 1 species
CCUACGGGAGGCAGCAGUGGGGAAUAUUGCGCAAUGGGCGAAAGCCUGACGCAGCGACGCCGCGUGAGGGAUGAAGGUCUUCGGAUCGUAAACCUCUGUCAGCAGGGAAGAACGGUCACUGUGCUAAUCAGCAGUGAAUUGACGGUACCUGCAAAGGAAGCACCGGCUAACUCCGUGCCAGCAGCCGCGGGAAUACGGAGGGUGCGAGAGUUAAUCGGAAUUACUGGGCGUAAAGCGCUCGUAGGCGGUAUGUCAAGUCAAGGGUGAAAGCCCCGUGCUCAACGUGGUAACUGCCUGUGAAACUGGCAAACUGGAGUGUGUGAGAGGAUAGUGGAAUUCCAGGUGUAGGAGUGAAAUCCGUAGCUAUCUGGAGGAACAUCAGUGGCGAAGGCGACUAUCUGGCACAUAACUGACGCUGAGGAGCGAAAGCGUGGGUAGCAAACAGGAUUAGAUACCCCAGUAGUC